AGGCCUAACACAUGCAAGUCGAGCGGUAGCGGGCCUGACCACUCUCGAGUGGUUCAGGCGCCGACGAGCGGCGGACGGGUGCGUAACACGUAGGAAUCUGCCCGGUAGUGGGGGAUAGCCCGGAGAAAUUCGGAUUAAUACCGCAUACGCCCUAAGGGGGAAAGCAGGGGAUCGGUUCGCCGACCUUGCGCUAUCGGAUGAGCCUGCGUCGGAUUAGCUAGUUGGUGGGGUAAAGGCCUACCAAGGCGACGAUCCGUAGCUGGUCUGAGAGGAUGAUCAGCCACACUGGGACUGAGACACGGCCCAGACUCCUACGGGAGGCAGCAGUGGGGAAUAUUGCACAAUGGGCGAAAGCCUGAUGCAGCCAUGCCGCGUGUGUGAAGAAGGCCCUAGGGUUGUAAAGCACUUUCAGUGGGGAGGAAAGGUCGAAGGUUAAUACCCUUUGCCUGUGACGUUACCCACAGAAGAAGCACCGGCUAACUCCGUGCCAGCAGCCGCGGUAAUACGGAGGGUGCGAGCGUUAAUCGGAAUUACUGGGCGUAAAGCGUGCGUAGGCGGCCAUUUAAGUUGGAUGUGAAAGCCCCGGGCUCAACCUGGGAACUGCAUCCAAAACUGGGUGGCUUGAGUGCGAGAGAGGAGUGUGGAAUUUCCUGUGUAGCGGUGAAAUGCGUAGAUAUAGGAAGGAACACCAGUGGCGAAGGCGACACUCUGGCUUGACACUGACGCUGAGGUACGAAAGCGUGGGGAGCAAACAGGAUUAGAUACCCUGGUAGUCCACGCCGUAAACGAUGUCUACUAGUUGUCGGUGGUCUUGUACUGCUGGUAACGCAGCUAACGCGAUAAGUAGACCGCCUGGGGAGUACG
rnacentral:rRNA from 1 species